UAAUACAGAGGGUCCAAGCGUUGUCCGGAUUUAUUGGGUUUAAAGAGUGCGUAGGUGGUUUAUUAAGUCAGUGGUGAAAUCCUGCAGCUCAACUGUAGAACUGCCAUUGAUACUGAUAAACUUGAGUUUGGUUUAGGUAAGUGGAAUUUAUGAUGUAGCGGUGAAAUGCAUAGAUAUCAUAAGGAACACCAAUAGCGAAGGCAGCUUACUGGACCACAACUGACACUGAGGCACGAAAGCGUGGGUAGCGAGCAGGAUUAGAUACCCUGGUAGUCCACGCCGUAAACGAUGCUCACUCGAUGUUAGCGAUAUACUGUUAGCGUCCAAGCGAAAGCGUUGAGUGAGCCACCUGGGGAGUACGCCGGCAACGGUG
rnacentral:rRNA from 1 species